CAAGCAAAGUUUACACCAAGUAGGGGAGCAGGUGCCUUAAAGUCUGGCUUCGCCCCCAAAAGGUGAACCGGGAUACAUGUCAGAAUUCAGCAGGUAGCUGCUUUGUUUAGCCAGAGAGAGAGUAUUAGAUCUGUGAGCCUGGCAUUGUGCAGGGCAAAUCCCAGAAAACUACUGAAGCAACACACGACAGGUUCUCUGCAAGACAAGCCGCAUAGCCAAGCCUGCAAAAGUUUGUCCCCGAUUUUGCUUUUAAAGCAUUAGUUACCAACAACUUAGCUAAUAACUCAUUGCUCAUGCAAAUUCAUUCUGCGCAGAGAAACAAGUCUUGAUGAUUAUAAAAUGCUGCAAUCACAGCAUUGCUUCCGGCCAGCUGAGUGGAAAUUCAUCAAGCAUUUGAUAUUUAAAACGGCUUCGGUGAUGAAUGUGUGCCUCCGUUUAUGACUGUACACCAAGACGGGAGGAAAAUGGACUACAAGAAAAUGACUACAUGAUUGGAAUCCCAACUGAAAUCACGGGCGGUAAAGACAGGGACAUAGAAUUUCACUCGGAGCUGGCUUACUGCAUGGGGGAAACAGCAACAUGUCCAUUGUAAUU